AGGAGUUUGAUCAUGGGCUCAGGACGAACGCUGGCGGCGUGCUUAACACAUGCAAGUCGAACGGUGAAGAGGAGCUUGCUUCUUGGAUCAGUGGCGAACGGGUGAGUAACACGUGAGUAACCUGCCCCAAACUCUGGGAUAAGCACUGGAAACGGUGUCUAAUACCGGAUACGAGCUUCAGCCGCAUGGCUAGGAGUUGGAAAGAAUUUCGGUUUGGGAUGGACUCGCGGCCUAUCAGCUUGUUGGUGAGGUAAUGGCUCACCAAGGCGACGACGGGUAGCCGGCCUGAGAGGGUGACCGGCCACACUGGGACUGAGACACGGCCCAGACUCCUACGGGAGGCAGCAGUGGGGAAUAUUGCACAAUGGGCGCAAGCCUGAUGCAGCAACGCCGCGUGAGGACGACGGCCUUCGGUUGUAACCUCUUUAGUAGGGAAGAACCAAA
rnacentral:rRNA from 1 species